rnacentral:rRNA from 1 species
GGGUUGUGAGGUUAAGCGACUAAGCGUACACGGUGGAUGCCCUGGCAGUCAGAGGCGAUGAAGGACGUGCUAAUCUGCGAAAAGCGUCGGUAAGGUGAUAUGAACCGUUAUAGCCGGCGAUGUCCGAAUGGGGAAACCCAGUGCAAUUCGUUGCACUAUCGUUUGAUGAAUACAUAGUCAAACGAGGCGAACCGGGGAACUGAAACAUCUAAGUACCCGAGGAAAAGAAAUCAACCGAGAUUCCCCAGUAGCGGCGAGCGAACGGGGAGCAGCCCGGAGUCUGAAUCAGCUUGUGUGUUAGUGGAAGCGUCUGGAAAGUCGCAGGGUACAGGGUGAUACUCCCGUACACUAAAACACACAGGCUGUGAACUCGAAGAGUAGGGCGGGACACGUGGUAUCCUGUCUGAAUAUGGGGGACCAUCCUCCAAGGCUAAAUACUCCUGACUGACCGAUAGUGAACCAGUACCGUGAGGGAAAGGCGAAAAGAACCCCGGCGAGGGGAGUGAAAAAGAACCUGAAACCGUGUACGUACAAGCAGUAGGAGCCUCUUUAUGGGGUGACUGCGUACCUUUUGUAUAAUGGGUCAGCGACUUAUAUUCUGUAGCAAGGUUAACCGUAUAGGGGAGCCGCAGGGAAACCGAGUCUUAACUGGGCGUUAAGUUGCAGGGUAUAGACCCGAAACCCGGUGAUCUAGCCAUGGGCAGGUUGAAGGUUGGGUAACACUAACUGGAGGACCGAACCGACUAAUGUUGAAAAAUUAGCGGAUGACUUGUGGCUGGGGUGAAAGGCCAAUCAAACCGGGAGAUAGCUGGUUCUCCCGAAAGCUAUUUAGGUAGCGCCUCGUGAACUCAUCUUCGGGGGUAGAGCACUGUUUCGGCUAGGGGGUCAUCCCGACUUACCAACCCGAUGCAAACUACGAAUACCGAAGAAUGUUAUCACGGGAGACACACGGCGGGUGCUAACGUCCGUCGUGAAGAGGGAAACAACCCAGACCGCCAGCUAAGGUCCCAAAGUCAUGGUUAAGUGGGAAACGAUGUGGGAAGGCCCAGACAGCCAGGAUGUUGGCUUAGAAGCAGCCAUCAUUUAAAGAAAGCGUAAUAGCUCACUGGUCGAGUCGGCCUGCGCGGAAGAUGUAACGGGGCUAAACCAUGCACCGAAGCUGCGGCAGCGACACUAUGUGUUGUUGGGUAGGGGAGCGUUCUGUAAGCCGUUGAAGGUGGCCUGUGAGGGUUGCUGGAGGUAUCAGAAGUGCGAAUGCUGACAUAAGUAACGAUAAUGCGGGUGAAAAACCCGCACGCCGGAAGACCAAGGGUUCCUGUCCAACGUUAAUCGGGGCAGGGUGAGUCGACCCCUAAGGCGAGGCCGAAAGGCGUAGUCGAUGGGAAACAGGUUAAUAUUCCUGUACUCGGUGUUACUGCGAAGGGGGACGGAGAAGGCUAUGUUGGCCGGGCGACGGUUGUCCCGGUUUAAGCAUGUAGGCGGAUGUUCCAGGUAAAUCCGGAACGUUAUUAACGCUGAGGUGUGAUGACGAGGCACUACGGUGCUGAAGUGACAAAUGCCCUGCUUCCAGGAAAAGCCUCUAAGCAUCAGGUAACAUCAAAUCGUACCCCAAACCGACACAGGUGGUCAGGUAGAGAAUACCAAGGCGCUUGAGAGAACUCGGGUGAAGGAACUAGGCAAAAUGGUGCCGUAACUUCGGGAGAAGGCACGCUGAUAUGUAGGUGAAGUGGUUUACCCAUGGAGCUGAAAUCAGUCGAAGAUACCAGCUGGCUGCAACUGUUUAUUAAAAACACAGCACUGUGCAAACACGAAAGUGGACGUAUACGGUGUGACGCCUGCCCGGUGCCGGAAGGUUAAUUGAUGGGGUUAUCCGUAAGGAGAAGCUCUUGAUCGAAGCCCCGGUAAACGGCGGCCGUAACUAUAACGGUCCUAAGGUAGCGAAAUUCCUUGUCGGGUAAGUUCCGACCUGCACGAAUGGCGUAAUGAUGGCCAGGCUGUCUCCACCCGAGACUCAGUGAAAUUGAACUCGCUGUGAAGAUGCAGUGUACCCGCGGCAAGACGGAAAGACCCCGUGAACCUUUACUAUAGCUUGACACUGAACACUGGUCCUUGAUGUGUAGGAUAGGUGGGAGGCUUUGAAGUGUGGACGCCAGUCUGCAUGGAGCCAUCCUUGAAAUACCACCCUUUAAUGGCUGGUGUUCUAACGUGGGCCCCUAAUCGGGGUUGCGGACAGUGUCUGGUGGGUAGUUUGACUGGGGCGGUCUCCUCCUAAAGAGUAACGGAGGAGCACGAAGGUCAGCUAAUCCUGGUCGGACAUCAGGAGGUUAGUGCAAUGGCAUAAGCUGGCUUGACUGCGAGCGUGACGGCGCGAGCAGGUGCGAAAGCAGGUCAUAGUGAUCCGGUGGUUCUGAAUGGAAGGGCCAUCGCUCAACGGAUAAAAGGUACUCCGGGGAUAACAGGCUGAUACCGCCCAAGAGUUCAUAUCGACGGCGGUGUUUGGCACCUCGAUGUCGGCUCAUCACAUCCUGGGGCUGAAGUAGGUCCCAAGGGUAUGGCUGUUCGCCAUUUAAAGUGGUACGCGAGCUGGGUUUAGAACGUCGUGAGACAGUUCGGUCCCUAUCUGCCGUGGGCGCUGGAGAAUUGAGGGGGCUGCUCCUAGUACGAGAGGACCGGAGUGGACGCAUCACUGGUGUUCGGGUUGUCAUGCCAAUGGCAUUGCCCGGUAGCUAAAUGCGGAAGAGAUAAGUGCUGAAAGCAUCUAAGCACGAAACUUGCCCGAGAUGAGUUCUCCCUGACCCUUUAAGGGUCCUGAAGGAACGUUGAAGACGACGACGUUGAUAGGCCGGGUGUGUAAGCGCAGCGAUGCGUUGAGCUAACCGGUACUAAUGAACCGUGAGGCUUAACCUUACAACGCCGAAG